rnacentral:tRNA from 1 species
GGUAAAAUGGCUGAGCAGGCAUUAGACUGUAAAUCUAAAAACAGGGGUGAAAGUCCUCUUUUUACC